rnacentral:rRNA from 1 species
AUUGAACGCUGGCGGCAGGCCUAACACAUGCAAGUCGAACGAGGCGGGGACGGGUGAGAUAUGUCUGGGCCACUGCGUGAUGGAGGGGUACAACUACUGGAAACUAUCGCUAAUACCGCAUUCCCUGGGAUGUGCCCAGAUGGGAUGAGCUAGUGGGGGGGGUAACGGCUCACCUAGGAGACGAGCCCUAGCUGGUCUGAGAGGAUGACCAGCCACACUGGAACUGAGACACGGCCCAGACGCCUACGGGAGGCAGCAGUGGGGAAUAUUGAACAAUGGGCGCAAGCCUGAUGCAGCCAUGCCGCGUGUAUGAAGAAGGCCUUAGGGUUGUAAAGUACUUUCAGCGGGGAGGCGUUACCCGCAGAAGAAGCACCGGCUAACUCCGUGCCAGCAGCCGCGGUAAUUC